GAACUGUCAGUUCUCAGUGGCAUCAAGCAAAGCACGCGAAAACAUUUAGAUUCAGUAGUGCAAACACUUCAAUUAGAAUUACGAAUUUUAUGAUUUGGUCCCUCGAUAAGGUUGAUCGGUUGAAGAAGAACGAUUCGCAGAAAAGAGAUGUCUCUCAUUCUGGAGAAUAAAAAUUACAUACACCGGACUUCAAAUCAGCUACCGAAAAUACACCCAAUACUUUACCGGAUUCGUCGGACAACACAUAUGAACUGGUUCCAACUCGGGUUAGCACCACACACGGGACAUACAAGGCAUCCAAUUUCGCGUUGUAAGAGUCCGCUGCGGAAGACUGCCGGAAAU